rnacentral:rRNA from 1 species
GCUUGCACCUUAUCUUAGCGGCGGACGGGUGAGUAAUGCUUAGGAAUCUGCCUAUUAGUGGGGGACAACAUUCCGAAAGGAAUGCUAAUACCGCAUACGUCCUACGGGAGAAAGCAGGGGAUCUUCGGACCUUGCGCUAAUAGAUGAGCCUAAGUCGGAUUAGCUAGUUGGUGGGGUAAAGGCCUACCAAGGCGACGAUCUGUAGCGGGUCUGAGAGGAUGAUCCGCCACACUGGGACUGAGACACGGCCCAGACUCCUACGGGAGGCAGCAGUGGGGAAUAUUGGACAAUGGGGGGAACCCUGAUCCAGCCAUGCCGCGUGUGUGAAGAAGGCCUUAUGGUUGUAAAGCACUUUAAGCGAGGAGGAGGCUACUGAGACUAAUACUCUUGGAUAGUGGACGUUACUCGCAGAAUAAGCACCGGCUAACUCUGUGCCAGCAGCCGCGGUAAUACAGAGGGUGCGAGCGUUAAUCGGAUUUACUGGGCGUAAAGCGUGCGUAGGCGGCUUUUUAAGUCGGAUGUGAAAUCCCCGAGCUUAACUUGGGAAUUGCAUUCGAUACUGGGAAGCUAGAGUAUGGGAGAGGAUGGUAGAAUUCCAGGUGUAGCGGUGAAAUGCGUAGAGAU